GACGAACGCUGGCGGCGUGCCUAAUACAUGCAAGUAGAACGCUGAAGGAGGAGCUUGCUCUUCUGGAUGAGUUGCGAACGGGUGAGUAACGCGUAGGUAACCUGCCUGGUAGCGGGGGAUAACUAUUGGAAACGAUAGCUAAUACCGCAUAACAGUAGAUGUUGCAUGACAUUUGCUUAAAAGGUGCAAUUGCACCACUACCAGAUGGACCUGCGUUGUAUUAGCUAGUUGGUGGGGUAACGGCUCACCAAGGCGACGAUACAUAGCCGACCUGAGAGGGUGAUCGGCCACACUGGGACGGAGACACGGCCCAGACUCCUACGGGAGGCAGCAGUAGGGAAUCUUCGGCAAUGGACGGAAGGCUGACCGAGCAACGCCGCGUGAGUGAAGAAGGUUUUCGGAUCGUAAAGCUCUGUUGUAAGAGAAGAACGAGUGUGAGAGUGGAAAGUUCACACUGUGACGGUAUCUUACCAGAAAGGGACGGCUAACUACGUG
rnacentral:rRNA from 1 species